rnacentral:rRNA from 1 species
UGAGGAAUAUUGGUCAAUGCGCGAGAGCCUGAACCAGCCAAGUCGCGUGAAGGAAGACAGUCCUAAGGAUUGUAAACUUCUUUUAUACGGGAAUAACGGGCGAUACGAGUAUUGCAUUGAAUGUACCGUAAGAAUAAGCAUCGGCUAACUCCGUGCCAGCAGCCGCGGUAAUACGGAGGAUGCGAGCGUUAUCCGGAUUUAUUGGGUUUAAAGGGUGCGUAGGUUGUUCGGUAAGUCAGCGGUGAAACCUGAGCGCUCAACGUUCAGCCUGCCGUUGAAACUGCCGGGCUUGAGUGCAGUGGCGGCAGGCGGAAUUCGUGGUGUAGCGGUGAAAUGCAUAGAUAUCACGAGGAACUCCGAUUGCGAAGGCAGCUUGCCAUACUGCGACUGACACUGAAGCACGAAGGCGUGGGUAGCAAACAGG